rnacentral:rRNA from 1 species
UACGUAGGGUGCAAGCGUUAAUCGGAAUUACUGGGCGUAAAGCGUGCGUAGGCGGCUUUGCAAGACAGAUGUGAAAUCCCCGGGCUUAACCUGGGAACUGCGCUUGUAACUGGCAAGCUAGAGUGUGGCAGAGGGGGGUGGAAUUCCACGUGUAGCAGUGAAAUGCGUAGAGAUGUGGAGGAACACCGGUGGCGAAGGCAGCCCCCUGGGCUAACACUGACGCUCAGGCACGAAAGCGUGGGGAGCAAACAGG